UAGUUGUGCUUUUGGUUCUGUCUUUAUCUGGGUGUUUUUCUUUUUCUCUUAGUAUUUCAGUUACAGGGAUUUCAAUUAGUUUUCAUGCAAAAGAUUUAUUUUUGAGUUAACCCGAAGCUGUAUUUGACAUCAAAUUAAGCAAUCUCAAGCAUUAUUCUUGAAAGUUAGGAGAUCUGAUUAGCAGAUUUGGGAUGUUUCUGAUACUCUUUGGCUUUUAUCACAGUCUGGGUGUUCUUUCUUUUCUAAGUUCUUGCUUCAACUGCAGAUUAUUUAUGUAAAUAAAGGAGUACCAAUGAAGUAAGUGCAAGACUGUCGAAGAUUUUCUGUAGUGAAGGCCACUUUUGAUUUUGUUUGUGGGACAAAUGGAAUUUAUGGAUACAAGUCCUUAUUUGAGGGUACAUCGGAGAAUCUGAGUAUGUUGAUGAUCACAUGUGAGGAAUAAUUGUUGUUGAAGAAAAUGAUAGGCUGAACAAAUAGGAUUAGUAAGGUAAGGCCUAGCCUCCUUGCUUGUACUUUUCCUUUGCGUUUCGCUUUUAUUAUAUAAAUAAAAAACUAGCCCUAGGCACCUCGCCUAGUGAAUUUGCUUUAAAAAAAAAAAGGGAACAAAUGAGAUGUCAUUAGUCGUAGCUUUGAUGUUGGGUGUUAGGGAGAUUGAAGGAUGGAUAACAAGGUUACUGCCUUCUAGACAGUUUGGAUACAUUAACUACCUCUGCCGGAAUCAUGGACCACGAGGAGGCUAGAAGGAAGAAUGUUGGUAGAAAGAUUCUAUUGGUUUCUUUUAUUAACCUCUUUCUAUUGACAAGGAUGAACACCCAGCUGUGGUGUACUUCUGCCUUCAUUACAAUUGAAAUGGUUCUAAAUUUGUUUUGA